rnacentral:rRNA from 1 species
CUUCGGUGGGGAUUAGUGGCGAACGGGUGAGUAACACGUGGGCAAUCUGCCCUGCACUCUGGGACAAGCCCUGGAAACGGGGUCUAAUACCGGAUACGACCAUCUUGGGCAUCCUUGAUGGUGGAAAGCUCCGGCGGUGCAGGAUGAGCCCGCGGCCUAUCAGCUUGUUGGUGAGGUAAUGGCUCACCAAGGCGACGACGGGUAGCCGGCCUGAGAGGGCGACCGGCCACACUGGGACUGAGACACGGCCCAGACUCCUACGGGAGGCAGCAGUGGGGAAUAUUGCACAAUGGGCGAAAGCCUGAUGCAGCGACGCCGCGUGAGGGAUGACGGCCUUCGGGUUGUAAACCUCUUUCAGCAGGGAAGAAGCGAAAGUGACGGUACCUGCAGAAGAAGCGCCGGCUAACUACGUGCCAGCAGCCGCGGAAUACGUAGGGCGCAAGCGUUGUCCGGAAUUAUUGGGCGAAAGAGCUCGAUGCGGCUUGUCACGUCGGGUGUGAAGCCC